UACAGAGGUCUCAAGCGUUGUUCGGAUUCAUUGGGCGUAAAGGGUGCGUAGGUGGCGGGGUAAGUCAGGUGUGAAAUCUCGGGGCUCAACCCCGAAACUGCACUUGAUACUGCCUUGCUAAAGUACUGGAGAGGAGAUUGGAAUUUACGGUGUAGCAGUGAAAUGCGUAGAUAUCACGAGGAACACCGGAGGUGUAGACGGCCAGCUGGACAGGUACUGACGCUGAGGCACGAAAGCGUGGGGAGCGAACAGG
rnacentral:rRNA from 1 species